GCACUGGGGAGAGGGCAGCCCGUCCUCACGAAGCCUCCCUGUACUGAGAGAAGAAAAACAAGGGACAGAUGGAGGACAAGGCCACGCCCCUUCCCACGGCAGGGGGCAACAGAGGCCUCUGGGGACGAGCUUAGCUGGCUUACUUCCGCCCAGCAUCUUGUAGCCGUCCAGGCUAGUGCUGCCUCUAGACCGCUGGGAUGCAAGAAACAGGGCCCUGCAAAAGGAGUGAGGGGCCAGAGUCUUCCUCAGACCAGAUGCACCUGUGGACGUGGCCAGUGUUUCCCGCUGCGUCAGCUGGGGUUGGAACUGAGCCCAGUCGCACCUGAGGGUGUGAGAGACUCCAGGGCACCCAGUCCCGGCCCUGCUCUGGGAUCUGCACCCUGAGUGUGCAAUGGCCUGGACACGUCUAGAGGCACUUGCAGACACUCACUGGAAAAGAAAAGUUGCAGGAGUGAAAGUGGCCGUUCCUCAUGACACCAGCGUGUGCGGCUCGGGAAGAGCCCACAGACCAGGUGAGACUUAGCUGAUAUGCGGAAGGUGUUCACAGCCGCAAAACAGGCGUCUCCCAGCUCGUGUCUCCCAGGACAAAGAGGAGGGACCCUGGACUGCUCUCCUGACCCCUCUCUCUUCAGAUGUGAGCACGUGAAGAGCUAGGUGGGGUCUCACAUGUCAUCCAGAUCUGGUAUUUGCAGAAAGGGAGGAAAAAGAAAGACUUUGCUGGUCACCCUUAGAUCCCCCAUGGGGCCUGAGGUUCGGCGGCUGCACAGUUGGGGAAAUAGUUGCUCAGGACCCCGAUAGGUAACACAGAUGAUAGGAGGAGUGUAGCUCUGGGUGAGCAAUGGGGCAUCCUGCUUGCUCAGAUUCCCCUUUCCAUCCUUUCCACCCCAAACUCCAAAGACCACCCCCAGGAUUUCUCUGGUCUUCCCACAACUUGAAAGGCAUGACUCUAUUAUCCUGUAGACCCCUCGAGGCUUGGGACUAUGUAGGGACACCGUCUGUCCAUCUCCAGCACCCAGCAGCCUUCCUAACCAAUGGCAGCCACUUGGUGUUUGCUGAGUGAAUGAAUGACCCAUGGAUGAGUCAGCUAUUGCUAUGAUACUGUGUAACAGACAGUAUUGUCUGUGUAACAGACAAGCCCCCAAAUCUCAGUGACUCACAACCGAAAGCACUGAACUUUUUUCUUAUCCAUGGGCACAAGCCAGCAGGGGCACUUCCAGGACCAAGCAUCUCCUUUGGGGACCAGCAGCUACAGGGAGCCCAUUCUGCUCAUGGUGAAUAGGAGAAACACAAGGCCCAGUCACACAUGCACAUCUGAAGACACUGCCUGGGUCACACCCACAAACACUCCACGUGUGGCCACAGCCAGCAUCAAUGGGCUGGGGCAAGCUGUGCACCCACUUCAGCGGGGGGCACCGCAAAGCCACCUAGCCAAAGACGCAGAUGUGAAAUUCUACAUAGAGAGGGAAAGAAGAAUUUUGGAACCAAGCGUCCGAGCUGCCACAAAGCAGAGGAUGGAAACAAUGGCAGAGCACUGCGUCCUUUGCAGGCUCGUUCAGACAGGAUGUGUGGAAAUUGCUCCGAGAAGUACAAAGCUCUAGUUAAAUGCUAUAACACAGCGAUGGCAUGAUGAAAUAUCACCUCCACUGGACAACACAGUCACCAUAAAGAGACCUCAUUCUUGGAGAGAGGAAUGGGGUGCUGGACAGAGGGACCCACCUCACAGCGAGACUGGAGCUGCAUGUGGCUUGUUAACGCGGCUCUAACAAGCCCCCUGAGCCAGCAGUCCUCAGAGGGUGACCGUGGGCAGGGCCGGGGCGCGGGGCUGGCAUUGCAAAAGCUGUUAAAAUAAAGAAAUAUGGGAGU